rnacentral:tRNA from 1 species
GGCCGCUUGGUCUAGUAGUAUGAUUCCUGUUUUGGGACCAUACAGGAGGUCGUGGGUUCAAUUCCCACAGCGGCCC